GGAGUUGUGGCUCAGUGGUAGAGCACUUGCCUUGCAUGUGUGAGGCACUGGGUUCAAUUCUCAGCACUGCA
rnacentral:tRNA from 1 species